GAUGAACGCUGGCGGCGUGCCUAACACAUGCAAGUCGAGCGAAGCGCUUAAAUUAGAUUUCUUCGGAAUGACGAUUUUUGUGACUGAGCGGCGGACGGGUGAGUAACGCGUGGGUAACCUGCCUCAUACAGGGGGAUAACAGUUAGAAAUGACUGCUAAUACCGCAUAAGACCCCAGCUUCGCAUGAAGCGGUGGUAAAAACUCCGGUGGUAUGAGAUGGACCCGCGUCUGAUUAGCUAGUUGGUAAGGUAACGGCUUACCAAGGCGACGAUCAGUAGCCGACCUGAGAGGGUGACCGGCCACAGUGGGACUGAGACACGGCCCAGACUCCUACGGGAGGCAGCAGUGGGGAAUAUUGCACAAUGGGGGAAACCCUGAUGCAGCGACGCCGCGUGAAGGAUGAAGUAUUUCGGUAUGUAAACUUCUAUCAGCAGGGAAGAAAGUGACGGUACCUGACUAAGAAGCCCCGGCUAACUACGUG
rnacentral:rRNA from 1 species